AGAGUUUGAUCCUGGCUCAGAGCGAACGUUAGCGGCAGGCUUAACACAUGCAAGUCGAGCGAGAAAGGGGCUUCGGCCCUGAGUACAGCGGCGGACGGGUGCGUAACACGUGGAUAAUCUGCCUUCUAGUGGGGAACAACAGUCCGAAAGGAUUGCUAAUGCCGCAUGUCACAACCUGAACUCUGGUUUGGGUUGGAAAA
rnacentral:rRNA from 1 species